rnacentral:rRNA from 1 species
AUGAACGCUGGCGGCGUGCCUAAUACAUGCAAGUCGAGCGAACAGACGAGGAGCUUGCUCCUCUGACGUUAGCGGCGGACGGGUGAGUAACACGUGGAUAACCUACCUAUAAGGCUGGGAUAACUUCGGGAAACCGGAGCUAAUACCGGAUAAUAUAUUGAACCGCAUGGUUCAAUAGUGAAAGACGGUUUUGCUGUCACUUAUAGAUGGAUCCGCGCCGCAUUAGCUAGUUGGUAAGGUAACGGCUUACCAAGGCAACGAUGCGUAGCCGACCUGAGAGGGUGAUCGGCCAUACUGGAACUGAGACACGGUCCAGACUCCUACGGGAGGCAGCAGUAGGGAAUCUUCCGCAAUGGGCGAAAGCUUGACGGAGCAACGCCGCGUGAGUGAUGAAGGUCUUCGGAUCGUAAAACUCUGUUAUUAGGGAAGAACAAAUGUGUAAGUAACUAUGCACGUCUUGACGGUACCUAAUCAGAAAGCCACGGCUAACUACGUG